rnacentral:misc_RNA from 1 species
UUAACUUGUUAUAAUAUUACUCAGACAAUACAAAAAUCAAGAGUUUAAGAUCCUCUGGCAGGCACAGACCAGCCUAAGCCGGUGGUCCAAAGACGGGCCUGCCAAAGCAACAAAGGUAAUGUAAACAAAGGGUGGGAGAUCUACCCAAAGGGCAGUUUCUCAGUAAUGAUCCUUCCGCAGGUUCACCUACGGAAA